CAGAGCGAAGCGCACGAAGCGAAAGCGUCCACACUUAUUGGCUGUUAGUUUAGAAGAGUAGACCACGAGAGACGAAAGUCUGGCGCGGCCCCGCGCACAGUGCGCCGGUUAUCCGGGGUGCGGUGUAGCGAGCGGUGCGAGCACUGGGUCAGUAGCUCAGUCGGUUAGAGCACCGUCUUGAUAAGGCGGGGGUCGUUGGUUCGAUUCCAACUUGACCCACCAGUACGUUUUUAUCGGUGCGGGGGAUUAGCUCAGCUGGGAGAGCACCUGCUUUGCAAGCAGGGGGUCGUCGGUUCGAUCCCGUCAUCCUCCACCAGUAACGCUGGCGGUCUUGUGGGAUAUGAAUCACCGCGCCUGGAGCGGGGUUAACGAAUAGCGACCGUGUAGUUAUGCGGUCGUUACUCGUUAAGUCUGUGUAGUAAGUGGGCUUGAUGGAAAUACUCGUUCUUUAACAAUCUGGAAGAAGCACAACAAAGUAAUUAUGGCGUCGUAUUUGGGCCUUUUAAGGUCUGGAUGCGUCACGUAAGAACGGGUUGCGAUUGCAUUAAUACAAUUUAAGUUCAAGAAGUUCUCAAAAACACGUGUUCACAGCGAUGUGGGCACAGCCUUUGAAAAUGGUGAACGGCACAACAACGCAAACUCAAGUGUUUUCUAUAACCUAUAAAGUUAUAGG
rnacentral:tRNA from 1 species